rnacentral:rRNA from 1 species
GAUGAACGCUGGCGGCGUGCUUAACACAUGCAAGUCGAACGAAGCACUUUAUUUGAUUUCCUUCGGGACUGAUUAUUUUGUGACUGAGUGGCGGACGGGUGAGUAACGCGUGGGUAACCUGCCUUGUACAGGGGGAUAACAGUUGGAAACGGCUGCUAAUACCGCAUAAGCGCACAGCAUCGCAUGAUGCAGUGUGAAAAACUCCGGUGGUAUAAGAUGGACCCGCGUUGGAUUAGCUAGUUGGUGAGGUAACGGCCUACCAAGGCGACGAUCCAUAGCCGACCUGAGAGGGUGACCGGCCACAUUGGGACUGAGACACGGCCCAAACUCCUACGGGAAGCAGCAGUGGGGAAUAUUGCACAAUGGGCGAAAGCCUGAUGCAGCGACGCCGCGUGAGCGAAGAAGUAUUUCGGUAUGUAAAGCUCUAUCAGCAGGGAAGAUAAUGACGGUACCUGACGAAGAAGCACCGGCUAAAUACGUG